rnacentral:rRNA from 1 species
GACGAACCUUGCAAACGUUAUUCGGAAUUACUGGGCUUAAAGGGUGCGUAGGCUGUGCAGAAAGUUGGGUGUGAAAUCCCUCGGCUCAACCGAGGAAUAGCAUUCAAAACUACUGUGCUAGAGGAAUACAGAGGUAAGCGGAACUCAGGGUGGAGCGGUGAAAUGCGUUGAUAUCCUGAGGAACACCGGUGGCGAAAGCGGCUUACUGGGUAUUUUCUGACGCUGAUGCACGAAAGCUAGGGGAGCGAACGGG